rnacentral:rRNA from 2 species
AAUACAUGCAAGUCGAGCGAACAGAUAAGGAGCUUGCUCCUUUGACGUUAGCGGCGGACGGGUGAGUAACACGUGGGUAACCUACCUAUAAGACUGGGAUAACUUCGGGAAACCGGAGCUAAUACCGGAUAACAUUUGGAACCGCAUGGUUCUAAAGUGAAAGAUGGUUUUGCUAUCACUUAUAGAUGGACCCGCGCCGUAUUAGCUAGUUGGUAAGGUAACGGCUUACCAAGGCGACGAUACGUAGCCGACCUGAGAGGGUGAUCGGCCACACUGGAACUGAGACACGGUCCAGACUCCUACGGGAGGCAGCAGUAGGGAAUCUUCCGCAAUGGGCGAAAGCCUGACGGAGCAACGCCGCGUGAGUGAUGAAGGGUUUCGGCUCGUAAAACUCUGUUAUUAGGGAAGAACAAAUGUGUAAGUAACUGUGCACAUCUUGACGGUACCUAAUCAGAAAGCCACGGCUAACUACGUGCCAGCAGCCGCGGUAAUACGUAGGUGGCAAGCGUUAUCCGGAAUUAUUGGGCGUAAAGCGCGCGUAGGCGGUUUCUUAAGUCUGAUGUGAAAGCCCACGGCUCAACCGUGGAGGGUCAUUGGAAACUGGGAAACUUGAGUGCAGAAGAGGAAAGUGGAAUUCCAUGUGUAGCGGUGAAAUGCGCAGAGAUAUGGAGGAACACCAGUGGCGAAGGCGACUUUCUGGUCUGUAACUGACGCUGAUGUGCGAAAGCGUGGGGAUCAAACAGGAUUAGAUACCCUGGUAGUCCACGCCGUAAACGAUGAGUGCUAAGUGUUAGGGGGUUUCCGCCCCUUAGUGCUGCAGCUAACGCAUUAAGCACUCCGCCUGGGGAGUACGACCGCAAGGUUGAAACUCAAAGGAAUUGACGGGGACCCGCACAAGCGGUGGAGCAUGUGGUUUAAUUCGAAGCAACGCGAAGAACCUUACCAAAUCUUGACAUCCUUUGAAAACUCUAGAGAUAGAGCCUUCCCCUUCGGGGGACAAAGUGACAGGUGGUGCAUGGUUGUCGUCAGCUCGUGUCGUGAGAUGUUGGGUUAAGUCCCGCAACGAGCGCAACCCUUAAGCUUAGUUGCCAUCAUUAAGUUGGGCACUCUAGGUUGACUGCCGGUGACAAACCGGAGGAAGGUGGGGAUGACGUCAAAUCAUCAUGCCCCUUAUGAUUUGGGCUACACACGUGCUACAAUGGACAAUACAAAGGGCAGCUAAACCGCGAGGUCAUGCAAAUCCCAUAAAGUUGUUC